rnacentral:rRNA from 1 species
UCAGCUCGUGUUGUGAAAUGUUGGGUUAAGUCCUGCAACGAGCGCAACCCUUAUCCUUUGUUGCCAGCGGUCCGGCCGGGAACUCAAAGGAGACUGCCAGUGAUAAACUGGAGGAAGGUGGGGAUGACGUCAAGUCAUCAUGGCCCUUACGACCAGGGCUACACACGUGCUACAAUGGCGCAUACAAAGAGAAGCGACCUCGCGAGAGCAAGCGGACCUCAUAAAGUGCGUCGUAGUCCGGAUUGGAGUCUGCAACUCGACUCCAUGAAGUCGGAAUCGCUAGUAAUCGUGGAUCAGAAUGCCACGGUGAAUACGUUCCCGGGCCUUGUACACACCGCCCGUCACACCAUGGGAGUGGGUUGCAAAAGAAGUAGGUAGCUUAACCUUCGGGAGGGCGCUUACCACUUUGUGAUUCAUGACUGGGGUGAAGUCGUAACAAGGUAACCGUAGGGGAACCUGCGGUUGGAUCACCUCCUUACCUUAAAGAAGC